rnacentral:tRNA from 1 species
GCCUGGGUGGCUCAGUUGGUUGAGCGUCUGACUUUGGCUCAGGUCAUGAUCUCAUGGUUCGUAGGUUCAAGCCCCCCCUCGGGCU